rnacentral:rRNA from 1 species
AACGAACGCUGGCGGCAUGCCUAACACAUGCAAGUCGAACGAGACCUUCGGGCCUUGUGGCGCACGGGUGCGUGACGCGUGGGAACUUGCCCUUAGGUUAGGAAUAACUCCCCGAAGGGGGUGUUAAUACAGGUUAAUGUCUUCGGACAAAGGAUUUCUCGCCUUUGGAUGGGCCCGCGUUGGUUUAGCUAGUUGGCAGGGUAAAAGCCUACUAAGGCGACGAUCCAUAGGUGGUCGGUGAGGAGGACCAGCGACACUGGGAUGCAGACACGGCCCAUACGCCAACGGGCGGCAGCAGUGGGUACAAUAGGACAGGGGGCGAAAUCCAGAACCAGCAAGGCCGCGUGAGUGAUGAAGGCCUUGUAGUUGUAAAGCGCUUUUACCCGGGAUGAUAAUGACAGAACCGGGAGAAUAAGCCCCGGCUAACUCCGU